rnacentral:rRNA from 1 species
GGGCUUACUUAUUGGUCAGGCUUAAUUGUCUGUACUGGUGAGAUGGAUCUCUACCUUCUGAGGAACUUUCAUGCCACUUAUUUGGUGUGAUGGGAAAUCGGGACUGUUACUUUGAAAAAAUUAGAGUGUUUAGAGCAGGCUAACGUCUGAAUACAUUAGCAUGGAAUAAUGAAGUAGGACGGACUGAUUCUAUUUCGUUGGUUUCUAGGAUCACCGUA